rnacentral:rRNA from 1 species
GAUGAACGCUGGCGGUCUGCUUAACACAUGCAAGUCGAACGGAAUCCUUCGGGAUUUAGUGGCGGACGGGUGAGUAACGCGUGAGAAUCUGUCUUCAGGUUCGGGACAACAGCUGGAAACGGCUGCUAAUACCGGAUGUGCCGAGAGGUGAAAGCUUUAGUGCCUGAAGAUGAGCUCGCGUCUGAUUAGCUAGUAGGAGUGGUAAUGGCACCCCUAGGCGACGAUCAGUAGCUGGUCUGAGAGGAUCGUCAGCCACACUGGGACUGAGACACGGCCCACACUCCUACAGGAGGCAGCAGUGUGGAAUUUUGCGCAAUGGGCGAAAGCCUGACGCAGCCAUGCCGCGUGAAUGAUGAAGGUCUUAGGAUUGGAAAAUUCUUUCCCCGGGGAAGAUAAUGACGGUACCCGGAGAAGAAGCCCCGGCUAACUUCGUGCCAGCCGCCGCAGUAA